AUACGUUCACCUCUUACGAGGCGCAUAACAACAAGCUUGGAACGGGGCUUGUU
ncrna:unclassified sequences Glutamine-II riboswitch (downstream peptide RNA)